GACGAACGCUGGCGGCGUGCCUAAUACAUGCAAGUUGAGCGAUGAAGAUUGGUGCUUGCCCCAAUUUGAAGAGCAGCGAACGGGUGAGUAACGCGUGGGGAAUCUGCCUUUGAGCGGGGGACAACAUUUGGAAACGAAUGCUAAUACCGCAUAACAACUUUAAACAUAAGUUUUAAGUUUGAAAGAUGCAAUUGCAUCACUCAAAGAUGAUCCCGCGUUGUAUUAGCUAGUUGGUGAGGUAAAGGCUCACCAAGGCGAUGAUACAUAGCCGACCUAAGAGGGUGAUCGGCCACAUUGGGACUGAGACACGGCCCAAACUCCUACGGGAGGCAGCAGUAGGGAAUCUUCGGCAAUGGACGAAAGUCUGACCGAGCAACGCCGCGUGAGUGAAGAAGGUUUUCGGAUCGUAAAACUCUGUUGGUAGAGAAGAACGUUGGUGAGAGUGGAAAGCUCAUCAAGUGACGGUAACUACCCAGAAAGGGACGGCUAACUACGUG
rnacentral:rRNA from 1 species